GAUGAACGCUAGCGGCAGGCUUAACACAUGCAAGUCGAGGGGCAGCGAGAGAGUAGCAAUACUUUUGUCGGCGACCGGCGGACGGGUGCGUAACGCGUAUGCAACCUACCUUAUACAGGGGGGAUAACCUUUCGAAAGGGAGACUAAUACCGCAUAACAUUACUUUGAGGCAUCUUGAGGUAAUUAAAUCUUCGGAGGUAUAAGAUGGGCAUGCGUAGCAUUAGCUAGAUGGUGCGGUAACGGCGUACCAUGGCGACGAUGCUUAGGGGUUCUGAGAGGAAGGUCCCCCACACUGGUACUGAGAUACGGACCAGACUCCUACGGGAGGCAGCAGUGAGGAAUAUUGGUCAAUGGUCGGAAGACUGAACCAGCCAUGCCGCGUGCAGGAAGAAUGUCUAUGGAUUGUAAACUGCUUUUGUAUGGGGCUAAUAAUAACUUUGCGAAGUUAGAUGCAGGUACCAUACGAAUAAGGAU
rnacentral:rRNA from 1 species